AACACGUGAAUUUGGAGGGGACAAAAACAUUUCAACCAUAGCAUCAUUUGUCUCCUUUGCUGCUAUUGGAGGGAGAGUCCCAAUUUCUCAUUAGUUUAUGCAGCUUGCUGCUUAGUAAUGACUUACCAAUGACGGUUGAACCUUGUAGUUGUAUUUGAUGAAGGAAAUAUGCACAUUUCUUUAUAGCACUUAGUUUUUUGCUUUGUUAACAUGCAGGCAGAGCGGGAGUGUUUAUUUUUAAAGAAGCUUUGAGCAUUAGACAUGUUUUAAAUCUAUUUCUUCGUUUAAUAUCAAUUGGCUUCUAAGAAGUGUUUCUCAUCAAAAUGGAAACAAUAAGGCUUAGAUAUUUAAGAUAAAAUGUACCAGCUGGAGGAUGAGUCUGCGCAUUUGGAUGAAAUGCCACUAAUGAUGUCUGAAGAAGGCUUUGAGAAUGAGGAAAGUGAUUACCACACCUUACCACGAGCCAGGAUAAUGCAGAGGAAAAGAGGACUGGAGUGGUUUGUCUGUGAUGGCUGGAAGUUCCUCUGUACCAGUUGCUGUGGUUGGCUGAUAAAUAUUUGUCGAAGAAAGAAAGAACUGAAAGCUCGCACAGUAUGGCUUGGAUGUCCUGAAAAGUGUGAAGAAAAACAUCCCAGGAAUUCUAUAAAAAAUCAGAAAUACAAUGUGUUUACUUUUAUACCUGGGGUUUUGUAUGAACAAUUCAAGUUUUUCUUGAAUCUCUAUUUUCUGGUAAUAUCCUGCUCACAGUUUGUACCAGCAUUGAAAAUAGGCUAUCUCUACACCUACUGGGCUCCUCUGGGAUUUGUCUUGGCUGUUACUAUGACACGGGAAGCAAUUGAUGAAUUUCGGCGUUUUCAGCGUGACAAGGAAGUGAAUUCACAACUAUAUAGCAAGCUUACAGUAAGAGGUAAAGUGCCAGUUAAGAGUUCAGACAUACAAGUUGGAGACCUCAUCAUAGUGGAAAAGAAUCAAAGAAUUCCAUCGGACAUGGUGUUUCUUAGGACUUCAGAAAAAGCAGGACCUUUUUUCUAUCAGUGCUUAUGUUUAUGCUCAGAAACCACAAAUGGACAUUCACAGUUUUGAAGGCACAUUUACCAGGUUGGAAAUGUUCACUAGACAAUGUGUGGAAGUACAAGGAAGUCGUAGAGCAAGUGCAGGUUGGCUGAAAAACCUGGUUCAAAGGGGAGCGUAUGGCUCAGUCUGCAGGAAGACACUGACCCGCCCAUUCAUGAAAGUCUCAGCAUAGAAAAUACAUUGUGGGCAAGCACCAUUGUUGCAUCAGUUCUCUUGAUGACCUUGGCAAGUGGGCCCAACUAGUUGGACACUAAUGAGGCAUCGUAACAUGCCAGCCCCAUCCUGUCCAUUCUGUUCUCUUUGCCAUCUAGCAUUCAGUGUUGUGUCUUCCUAGCGGGCACGAAGAUGGCUUUAAAACCAUCCACUCGAGAAGCUUAAUUAAGGUACUGUAAUAGGUGUUGUCAUUUAUACUGGAAAAGAGACUCGAAGUGUAAUGAACACAUCCGAUCCAAAAAAUAAGGUCGGUUUGUUGGACCUUGAACUCAAUCGGCUGACGAAAGCGCUAUUUUUGGCUUUAGUUGCUCUUUCCAUUGUUAUGGUAACCUUACAAGGAUAUGUGGGUCCAUGGUACCGCAAUCUUUUUCGGUUCCUUCUCCUCUUUUCUUACAUCAUUCCCAUAAGUUUGCGUGUGAACUUGGACAUGGGCAAAGCGGUGUAUGGAUGGAUGAUGAUGAAAGAUGAGAACAUCCCUGGCACGGUCGUUCGGACCAGCACUAUCCCAGAGGAACUUGGGCGCCUGGUGUAUUUAUUGACAGACAAAACAGGUACUGUUCAUGGUCUGUGUUCACCUUUGAAUGGACGAAAUGACAUUUAAUAAGAAAUAGCAUAGCAUAGCAUGUAG
rnacentral:sRNA from 1 species